CCAUUUCUUUCUUUCCUUUAUGCCGCGCUUGUUGUUCUCUCCUCUGUCUCUGUCCUCGUAUCAGCCGAGAGAACACACGCAGCUCCCCGACCACUGUAAAUCGGUGGCCAAGGGGAGCAAAACACUGUGGAAGCCCUCCUUCGAACCUUUCCUUCGAAUACCGAUUCCUCGAGUCCCUCCCUCUUAACUUUAUCCUUAAAAUAAAUACCCAAAACUCUCGAAAGAAAACAAAAAUCAGAUCCGAAAAAACAAUGAUUCUUUAACUUUCGGUCGUGAGUUCGUCUAGUUCCAGUGAAGUCUACGAGGUUGUAUGGCUUUGCUUUCCUUGCGUCGGAGGACUCGGAGGUGUGGCCGGAGUGCGCGAGACGUGCGGCCAUGAAACUCGGAAACUCGGACGCGGGUUGACCUCAUGCGGCACUGUUGACUGCUGGAACAAGUAUGGGCGAAGCUAGGGUUGAAAAACGGGCCACUGGGAUUUGUUUGUACUUGGGCCACCCUUUGUAAAAUGUUGGGCUUGAGCCUGUAUUAAAACAAAACAUGUUAUGUAAUUAUAAAAUAUAACAUGUACACCAUA